rnacentral:misc_RNA from 1 species
AACGUAGGACGCGAACGUUAUCCGGAAUUACUGGGCGUAAAGGGCGCGCAGGCGGUUGGGUAAGUUAGGCAUGAAAGCUCCCUGGCUAAACCGGGAGAGGAUGUCUGAAACUGCCUGGCUAGAGUGAGGUAGAGGGGUGUAGAAUUCCGCGUGUAGUGGUGAAAUGCGUAGAUAUGCGGAGGAAUACCAGUGGCGAAGGCGGCACCCUGGACCUCAACUGACGCUGAGGCGCGAAAGCAUGGGUAGCGAACGGG